ACCCGAAGUCGGUAGGGUAACCUUUAUGGAGCCAGCCGCCGAAGGUGGGACAGAUAAUUGGGGUGAAGUCGUAACAAGGUAGCCGUAUCGGAAGGUGCGGCUGGAUCACCUCCUUUCUAAGGAA
rnacentral:rRNA from 1 species